GACGAACGCUGGCGGCGUGCUUAACACAUGCAAGUCGAGCGGUAAGGCCCUUUCGGGGGUACACGAGCGGCGAACGGGUGAGUAACACGUGGGUGACCUGCCUUUAGCUCUGGGAUAAGCCUGGGAAACCGGGUCUAAUACCGGAUAUGACUCCGCGGCGCAUGUUGUGGGGUGGAAAGCCUUGUGCGGCUGGAGAUGGGCCCGCGGCCUAUCAGCUUGUUGGUGGGGUGAUGGCCUACCAAGGCGACGACGGGUAGCCGGCCUGAGAGGGCGACCGGCCACACUGGGACUGAGACACGGCCCAGACUCCUACGGGAGGCAGCAGUGGGGAAUCUUGCGCAAUGGGCGAAAGCCUGACGCAGCGACGCCGCGUGAGGGAUGACGGCU
rnacentral:rRNA from 1 species